rnacentral:misc_RNA from 1 species
GAUGAAGAACGCAGCGAAAUGUGAUACGUAAUGUGAAUUGCAGAAUUCAGUGAAUCAUCGAAUCUUUGAACGCACAUUGCGCCCGCCAGUAUUCUGGCGGGCAUGCCUGUCUGAGCGUCAUUUCAACCCUCAUGCCCCUAGGGCGUGGUGUUGGGGAUCGGCCAAAGCCCGCGAGGGACGGCCGGCCCCUAAAUCUAGUGGCGGACCCGUCGUGGCCUCCUCUGCGAAGUAGUGAUAUUCCGCAUCGGAGAGCGAUGAGCCCCUGCCGUUAAACCCCCAACUUUCCAAGGUUGACCUCAGAUCAGGUAGGAAUACCCGCUGAACUUAAGCAUAUCAAUAAGCGGAGGA